CGGCGGCAAGACAAUCGAGGUGCCCCUCACGGGGAUAAUCGGGAAGCCGGUGCGAAUCCGGCACAGGCCCGCUGCGGUGACCCGGGAGUCGUCGAUCACGCGCAACACGCGCAGCCACUGGACCGGCCGGUCCGGGAAGGCGAUCGCACGGCGUUCGACCGGGAAGUCCGAAUACCGGCCUCGAUUUCAGCUGCCGA
rnacentral:ncRNA from 2 species